GGUUGCGCGGCCAUCGUG
rnacentral:misc_RNA from 1 species